GGUGAAUUCUUGUUGAAUCUGGUGUGGGUCAGUAAGCUUCAUUUGGUUCUCUGUGAGGAUACAGCUCACCUUAUUUCUGGCUUGUCUGGAUUUCAUGUAAGCAUGAAAAUAUUUUGUAUUGCUAUCCCCAAGUUGAAUCCAGUUUGCUCUUGAUUUCUGUCUCAUAACCUGUUCUUGAAUAGUUUCCCAUUGUUCAAUGUUCUGUAAGAGUUGUUUUUCUUUUUGAAUCUCCUACUUGUUGAAUUGGUCUUUAUUUAGUCUGUAUGUGUUUCAUUCAGUUCCUCUCUCAGGUGUUGCAGUUUUUUGUCAACAGAGGAAUGUUCCUUGUGGAUGUGUCUGGUAGCUUGUUCAAUCUUUUUCAGUUUGCUCCAAAUAGAGUACAUAGUACAUCCUUGAAUCUGCUGGCUCCAGAUUGUCUGAACUGCUGCCCUGUAGUCUUGAUGUUUCAUCACUGUGGUGAGUAAUCUGUAUGGCCUGUUCACUAUAGGUUUUGCAUGCGAUUAAUGCUAUUAAUGCUAUAAAAGAUCUAUUCAAGCAAGUCCAAUUCAAAAUUCACCUUUCGGUUUCAAAAUACAAAAAAAGGUUUUGAGUCUUUUGACAUUGAUUCAGCUUUCUGCGACAUACUGUUUUUGAGAGGCACAAAAACAAUUAACGAG
rnacentral:lncRNA from 1 species